AUAUAUAUAAUAUAAUAUAUUACAAAGUAACGUUUUUGGUUAAAGAAAAAAAGCUAGGAAGUGUAACUAAUCUUUAGAAGAUUGGAAUAUUUGAAGGCUUAAGGAAGAGAAAUGAUUAGGAAGAUAAAGCGAGCAGUUGCCUUGAGGGCUUUCUUUGUUGGAGGAAUUGCUGCAUUUUCCAAAAUCAGUAGUGCUGUUAAAGCUGUUGGAGGUGUAAAAGUAGGCGUAGCUACUGCUGCGAUGAGUGCUGCAGCAACUGCCAUUUCAGGAUCAGUAAAGAAGCGAAAAUAGCUUCUCAACACUCUUCCAAAUGAUGCUCUCUAUGAAGAAUGGUGUAGAGCUUUUGAUCUUUUCUUUUCAUCCAAUAUAAUGUAUUUUUAAGUUAUAGGGGUUUCUCUAACUGAUCAAGUAGGUUAUGCAGUUGGCUCUACUUCUGAACAAAUGAAUGUAGGAAGUUAUUGAAGCUUUAUGUCCUGAAAAUGUAGAUCUGGUUUACAAAUAAAGAAUAUUUGUGGCUUUA